AACGAACGCUGGCGGCGUGCCUAACACAUGCAAGUCGUGCGAGAAAGUUCCCUUCGGGGAGCAAGUACAGCGGCGCACGGGUGAGUAACACGUAGGUAAUCUGCCUCGUAGUCGGGAAUAACCCGGGGAAACCCGGGCUAAUACCGGAUGAGACACGAUUGCUCCGGCAGUCGAGGCCAAAGACGGCCACUACACGUAAGCUGUCGCUACGAGAUGAGCCUGCGGCCCAUUAGCUAGUUGGUGGGGUAAUGGCCUACCAAGGCUGUGAUGGGGCGCUGGUCUGAGAGGAUGAUCAGCCACACUGGGACUGAGACACGGCCCAGACGCCUACGGGAGGCAGCAGUGGGGAAUAUUGCGCAAUGGGGGAAACCCUGACGUAGCGACGCCGCGUGGGUGAUGAAGGCCUUCGGGUCGUAAAGCCCUGUCGUAGGGGAAGAACCGGUGGACGGCUAACACCCGUCCGCCCUGACGGUACCCUACAAGAAAGCACCGGCUAACUCCGUGCCAGCCGCCGCCGUAAAAC
rnacentral:rRNA from 1 species